rnacentral:sRNA from 2 species
GGCCUGUGUUUCCCCUCCAAUUUAUGACUGUGCAACCCGAGCAGCUGCUGCUGCCGGCAUGCCUGUUUCGGCAUGGGACGGCGCAGUGAUCGCACGCUCUAGGCCUGCCGGGGGAUUUACACGACCGUUACGAGCAUGUAAGUUGGUUACAGAUUACAGCAUGUGCAACUAACUAGCUGGCAUGCCUUGUUGUUUGAAGCUGCAACUUCGAAUGGCAGCGUGCAUUCGCCGGGCGCAAGCCGCAUGAUAUCUUGGGCAUGGAACUGUGCGGCGCCAACCGCAGCCGGGGGUGUGUAACUUAUAGUAUCUUAUGUCUUAAUGUCUGGCCUGGCUCGUGCCUGGCUUUCUACUUCACUGAUGCAUUGAUUCAUAUCCGAAGGGAGAUGUCGAAAAAAUGAGGAUUUAAUAACGGUUGAGUUAGCAUGUUUGAAAUUUGUGGAUUUUGUAGUAGUGAGCUAUUCUCAUACGUCAUCGACGUUUUUGAAAGGGUAAGUUAUGCUCGAAGAGAAAGCCCAUGGUUUGUUCCUACACCUAUCAAACACGUAACUAUGUAAUUACCUAAAAGAAAACAAAAA